UUCACAACCCAAAGAAGUUUAAGGACCACCACAUUAGAUUAUCCAUCUACUGGUUUACAUGGAAAGAACAGGUCUUUGAAAGGCACAUCCUUAACUAAGACAAAAUGGAAGUAGAAAAAUGGAAAAUGGGACAAAGAAGAGAGCAAGAGAAUAGAAGAUGUGGAAGAAGAAUGCUGCUGGGGACCUGCCCCCACUGAUGACAUCAGAAUCUCUGGGGGGCGGGGCAAGGCCAACAGGAUUUUGGAAAAAUUCCUCAGAUGUGAAGCCAGGGCUGACACCACUCAGCCUCCGCAGAGAGAAGUGGAGAGCGCAGACAAGGAAACUAAAUAAAGAAAAA